CACACCGCCCGUCACACCAUGGGAGGUUGUUGCACCAGAAGCAGGUAGCUUAACCGCAAGGGGGGCGCUUGCCACGGUGUGGCCGAUGACUGGGGUG
rnacentral:rRNA from 1 species